UUAAAAGGCUAGCGAGCUUGCUAGCUAGCUAAUGAUGUAGUUUAACUUUUGGCGCGAUUUUGAGUGUUAAAGUUUACAAAACGCAUUUAAAUACAUAUUGGCAGGUGUUUCUGACUUAACUGAGACCAGUCUUUGCUAACAAGUUAGCUCGCUAGCAUAACAUUUUAGAAUAAUAGGAUAGCUAACUGUACACUGAAAUCUCCCGAUUUAACACCACCGAGUACAACAGCAGACUUGUUAGCGGGCUAGUUAGCUACUCUAGCUAUGUGUGUUUAGAUAACUAUCUAGCUGUAUAUUUAAAAAAAAGUUCUUUUGGAAAGAUGAGCAACUCUGUAGUCAUGAAAUCCCCACGUUUAGCAGUUUAAUUGAGUUUGCAUGCAACAUGGCGGAACACAAUGCACAGCACAUCAGCGCUGUGGUGAGGGAAUGCCACGGAGAGCUGGAGAAGCCAUCAGAAAAGUCAGGUGAAAGUUUCCAGAGGGCAGCGGAUGGUAUGGCCAUUAACGCCAGCAGUCCAUCUGAACGGCACCAGCAUGGUGCGGAGGAAGACGAGCUGGAUGGCUUUCCUGUCAUUGCUGCAGAUGAAGAGGACUGUGAUAUGGAUAGCAACUCCAGUGUGAAAGGCAGACAGAGCGAUGAGCAAGAUGAGAAUGAAAGUCAGAUGGAAGGAGUCUCCCCCAGAGGAGUAAACGCAGGUGAAAAUGCCCAACACCCUCAAAUAGGGGAGGUGCCUUCACAAACUUACACAAAAAUCAGUCCAUUCCUGCAGGACCCAGGUGGGGAAUAUGAAGAAGAAACUCUGUACUCUCCUUUAAUAAAAAUUAAGGAUGAGCCCAUAGACGAGGGCUAUGACAAAGCACUGAUUGCACAGUCAGCCCCACCUCGAGUUAAACAGGAGCUUGAGAAUGGAGACCAGGAGGCAGUGGCUCCCCCAGAUGAGCUCAGGAUAAGCUCGGUCUUCUCCGUUAGAGGAGAUGAUGCCAUUUCUGCUUCUGCUGCAGCCUCACAGCCGCCUCCGUUCUCGGCUCUGGGCCAGUCAGCACCUGCCGUUAAAGUGCCUCCUAUGGUUGUGCCAGCCCAGGCGCACCCUCACCUCCAGCCUAAACCCUUGGGCCUGCCCCAUCUCCAGCCUUUGCCCCAGCUCCAACCACUGCCCCAGCCCCUGCUCAGUGUCCAUGCCCAGUCUCUGCCCCAUCUCCAACCACUAGCCCAGCUCCAACCUCUGCCCCAGCUUCAGCCACUGCCCCACCCCCUUCCCCAGCCACUACUCCAGGCCCAGCUUCAACAAUCCCAGCCCCCUCCUGCCUCCGUGCGGAUCUGCUGUUCCGGCUGCUCCAAGGUCCUGCAGAAGGGCCAAACUGCAUUCCAGAGGAAAGGUUCCAAUCAGCUCUUCUGCUCCACUGUCUGCUUGACUGGAUUCAACCUUCCUCCAACCAUCAACAUUGCCCAAAAGAAAACUUGCCAUCUCUGUCUCAAGAUGAUUGGAAAUCCAAAGGACUUGAUAACCGUUCCAGUGGAUGCUUCAAACACCUUGAAGGAGUUUUGUAGCCAGGCUUGUCUGACUAUCUACAAAUCCAGGGGUGAAGGCUUUGCAGAGGAUGACACUGUUCGAUGCUCCAUUUGCAGAAAUUCCAGUGAGAUUCUGCACGAGGUGAAUCAUCAGGGGUUUCUGCACCGGCUCUGCAGUGACGACUGCUUCUCUCGUUUUCGCUCCUCCAAACGGCUUUCCAUGAGCUGCUGUGAGAGCUGCGGCAGCUGUACCGUGACAGGAAACUAUCACCUCGCUCAGAUAGAGGAUGCUGUUAAAAAGUUCUGCAGCCCCAUCUGCAUUAGUACUUUUAAGCAGAAAAGUGGUGAGAAGGCCCACUGCCCCUACUGUAAUGAGUUUAAGGAUGUGGACCAGAUGCUGGAGGGGACUAACACACAGGGAGUCGUUGAAUUCUAUUGCUCCUCGAGAUGUUUAACCAACAGUCAGGCAUCUCGCACUUUGUCAGGUGCUUCAUUUCCAUGCACAAACUGCCAGAAGUUAGCUGUCCCUCAGUAUCAUCUUGCUAUGCCUGACGGAUCCAUCCGGAAUUUCUGCUCAUACGAGUGUGUUGGCAGGUUUCAGGAGAGGCUCAACCGUCCUGCACCCCCUACCCAUAUGAACGGAGGAUCCACAGCUGCUCCUUCUUCUGCCCCAACCAUGAACUCACGUGGCCCCCCAUACCCAAACAUCACCUCCCGCCCCCCUGCUCCCCUUCACACAUCUACCCAACUGCAUAACCCUUCUAUGUCCUAUACCUCCACCCCAAGCCAGAAUCCUCAUCCAACUUUUGUGCCUACAUUAAAACAACCCCCCCUCCCACCAUAUGGGCCUGCGUCUGGCCUGGAGAACCCACAGGACAACCAGAAGACGCAGCCAAAUGGUCCCCCCUUGGCAUAUGGCACCAUUAAACUGACCUGCAAACAGUGCCAGGUUCAGUUCAGCUCCAAACCCGAAGUUUUACAGUUUAAGCAUCACACAGGGCUUUUCUGCUCCCGUAUGUGCUGUGACACUUACAAGAGGGAAAAAGACGUGAAAGCAGUGUGUGAGUACUGCAAACAGGAGAAGGUGGUGAAGGACCUCACCGUGUACGAGCAUCAGCCGCGGCCCUUUUGCUGUGAAGGCUGUAAACUGCUCUUCAAGCAUGACCUGGCCAAACGGCAUGGGGGUCAGUGUAGGAUUUGUGCUUACUGCUGCAACAUGACCCACAGCACCAUCCAGAACCACUUUGGGGGCAAGCUGGAGGAAUUCUGCACAGAGGAGUGCAUGUCUCUCUACACUGUGCUCUUCUACGAGAUGGCAAAGUGCCACGGAUGUAAGACUCAGGGGGCACUGAAGGAGAGCCUCAAGUGGGACGAAAAGAUCUGCCACUUCUGCAGCCUGCACUGUGUGUUGCACUUUUGUUCUAAGUGCAUCAGCCCAGAUCAACCAAACAGCAACGGUAUAACAUCAGCCGCUGAAGCCCAAGCCCCUUUCUCUGUUUCUAAAGAUAUGCCAGUCAUAGGUGGUGUUGUGUCCCUGGCCUCCGCGCUGGCUGGUAACACUGCUCUCACAGGAGCACUUCCUACUUCUAACUGCAGCUCAAAGAUCAUCGGCGACGCCAGCACCCAGACAGAGGCGGCCGCACAUGCUGGUGCUUGUCCUCGGCGCAUGCUGAAGAACAAAGCUCUCAUGUGCAAGCCCAUCAUAGAAGAGCGGGCCGUCCAGUGUGACCUUGAGCCUACGAAGCUGUUGUCUGAGACAGUGAUAGAUGAGAACGGGGAGAAAGUGAGACUGGUUCCAGUGCCCCUGCCUGUUCCAGUGCCUGUGUACAUUCCUCUUCCCAUGCACCUGUACACUCAGUACACGCCUGUACCCUUGGGACUCCCUUUGCCUCUACCAGUGCCGGUGGUGGUGUCUGCCUCUGAGGACACCAAAGGCAGCGUGCCUUCUCAGAGCUCAGUGGAAGACGAAGACAUGGACAAAGGAAAAAGCAGGCCUAUGUCCAAUGGAGACCAGGGAAGUACCUAUAGUGGGGACCUGGAGUCAGAGGCCAGGUCUACACCCUUUAGUUGGGCAGACACUGAGGAUACUACACACAGCCUCAAGGCAUUAGUCCCUUCAUCUGUUGUGGAAGGUGCUUCUAGAAUGCUAGACUUAGAAAAGGACUUCCCUCUUGUGUCAAAUGACCACGGAGCAGCAAAGGAGCGGAAACCAGCAGCAAAACGGCGCAGGAGAGGAAAGAGGGUAGAUGCUGCUGAAGACCAGGUUGAAGAACUGGACACAGAGGAUUGUGCACAAUCUAUAUCAGACAAUGAUUUGGAACAGUUGAAUGUGAAAACUUGUCAGCAGGAAAAUAAUCUGGAGAAAAAUAUUUCAAGUAAAUUGGAAACUUUUCCAACUGAUGAUGAGCAGAUCGAAUCGCAGCCAACUUCUAAAUCUGGAUGGCAUCUUACAUUAUCUUCUCAGUUAGUGUCAAAUUUGAAACCAUUCAGAAAAACAGUCCACUAUCGCACAUUAAACACUAAACGGAUCUUUUGUGUUUUCUGUAAAAAGCCCAGUACCAAAAUAGCAAGGCAUUUGCAGCAGAAGCAUGCAACUGAAACAGAUGUGGCACUUGCCCUCAAUUUCCCAAAAGGAUCCAAAAAGAGACAUCUCUUAUUUGAACAACUUUGCAAGAAAGGCAAUUAUCAGCAUAACAUUGAAGUGCUCCGUAAUGGAAAUGGAAAAAUUGUUACUAAAAAACGAACAAAGAAGGACAUUUCUUCUAUGGAGUAUUUUCAGUAUUGCCUGGCUUUCUAUCUUUGACAUGCCUUACUAAAACAUGAAAGCUUAUGCAAGACAAAGAUCACUCUGGAGACUAUGCAAGAACUGGACCCCAAGUGCUGCACUCAAUCUUAAAUCCUCUUUUAAACCCACUUCUGAAAAGAGUUCUCUAUCCCUUGAGACAUUAAGCCCAGUAGGACGGCCAAAUCCAACAUCAAGACCUGAAUCCGGACCACAACAUAAUCCUGAAUCUACUCAGCCUAGUACAGAAUUGUUCUUACCUAGUCUUGAUUCAAGCCGGUCCUGCUGUCAGGGCACAGAGAAAUACAGUCUUGAAAUCAGUCCUUGUCCUUGUCCUAGUCCUAAAUAUUGUUGCCAAUCCAGGCUCAGAAUGAAUCCUGAACCCAGCCCCCAGCCUAGUCAACGAAGUACUGAAUUUUGCUUCCCACCCGGUGUGAGGCACCCAGAUCUCAGACCCUCAUCUAGUCCUAAUUCAUGCCAUCAGUCCAAUUUCAGCUCGAGUCCUGAACCCAUCACUCACUCUGAUUUUGAAUCCUGCGUUCAGGCCAGUGAGGGAUCCAGGCCUGAAACCAACCCUUGUCCCAGUCCCAAAUUUUGCUAUCAGACAAGCCUUAGUACCGGUCCUGAACCCAGCCCACAGAUUAGUCAGACAAGUUUCAAAUCUUGCCUUCCAUCUACUUUGAAAUCUAAUCUCAGGCUCCUCUCACCACCUAAUCCUGACAAAGGUUCUAGUCCUCUUGAUUCCUGCCUUCAGGGAGAAAUGAGAUCAAGUCCUGAAUCCACUUCAUUACCUACUCUUGAAUCCUGUCUCAAAUCCAGUAUGAAGUCCAGGCCUAAUCCUUUCCUUGAAUUCAGCUGUGAGUCCAGCCCUAAACCUACUAAUGAAUAUUGUCAUCAACCCAGUCUGAUUUGCAGAUCCAGCCCACAACCUGGUUUAAUGUCAAGUUCAAAGUACAGUUUAAGGUCUACUUCAUCAAGAGUUUCUAGAGCCAGCCUAAAUAGUGAUAACAUUGAUAACCUUGAAUAUGCACUGCACUCAGAUGUCUCAAGUGGAUCUGAUUAUGUCCCACUGAAUGAUGAGCAGUCUGAUUGUAGCAGUGAUGACCGUGAUGACAAUUUGGACAGGCCAGUUGCACAGAACUUGACUGCUGAUGUGAAUAUUAACUCAACAUUUACCUCAUCAUUGUGCCACAACAGUUCACAGUCUGAGAUGGAUUCCACAAGAGAGAUCAAAGAGACAUUUGGGUCAAGUACAGGGUCCAGUCCACAAUCUAGUCAAAAUUUCAGUCUAAUCCGUAGUACAUCUUUAAGUUUGAUGGUACCACAGCAGCUGUGUGAGAUUACAUGUAAUAAAACUGUUGGUGGUCAGAAAUGGAACAAAAGACAGUUCUGUGUCUACUGCAAGAAAUCCAACACCAAAAUGGCACGGCAUUUGGUGCACAAACAUGCAAAUGAAACAGAUGUUGUCCAUGCCCUCAGUUUUCGAAAAGGCUCUAAGGCGGUGCCUUUUACUUGACCAGCUCUGUAAAAAAGGAAAUUACCUACAUAAUAUUGAAGUUCUUCAAAAUAGUAGUGGAGAAGUAGUCACUUCUAAAUGACCAACUGUGGAUUAUUCUGUGAGUGAGUACUUGCCUUGUCCACAUUGCCUGGCUUUUUAUGUUCGACAUGAUCUUUGGAAGCAUGAAAGAGCCUGCAAAAUGAGAAAGGACAACAGUACUGGUUGCCGUAGAAGAAUUCAGUCUGCAUCAACUAAGAUGCUUCCUUUACAGGGCUUUCGUUCUGGGGCUUGUGAAGAAAUUAUCCAUGGAAUGAAUCAAGACAGUGUUUUGGAUCAUAUAAGGGAAGACACUCUGAUUUGCAAGUAUGGUGAUACCCUUGUGGUAAAACACGGACAUGGUAAAAAGCAUCAUGCGUAUAUUGCACAAAAGCUGAGGGAAUUGCGGCGAUUUAUGCUUGCCGUAAAGGAAAUUGACCAGUGUGUUCAGCAUCUGUAUCAAAUAUGCACUCCAUCCAGGUUUGAUUUGGCCAUAAACAGUGCCAAGAAGAUUAGUGGUUUUGACAAAUCUUCUAAAAAGGUUGAAACAGCAUCUCUGGCUUUGAAAAUGGGCUAUUAAGACAAAGACAAACAGUGGAAAUUUAUUUUGGUGAGAGUUUCAUGGGGCAUGAUUCAGAGACUGCAGCUCAAGCUAAAGAAUUUAUUGAACUCCUUGAGACGAAUUGGAUUUCCUGUGUUAGAAACUCUGAUCUGGACAUCCCUGAAAGCAAUGACUUGAAGAGGUGCUUGGGAAGCCCUUCUGCGGCAUCCACUACACAUCAGGAGACCAAAACUGACAACAUAGAAUCUGCUGUUUUGCCUGAAGUAGGAACCACUUUACAGUACAGUGAAAAACCUAGUUUGCCACCAGAUUUGACAUUUAGCCUUCAGUCAAAUCCAGAACACAGCCAAAACAUCAUAUCACAGUUAUUGCUCUGUUCUAGUCCUGAUUUAAAUGGUCAAAAUAUGAACAACAAGGAAUGUGAGCUGAGUGGGAGCCUCCUAACUGAGUUUCACCCAGCUAAAAAUGAAAAGUCUAGCAGUAGUAAUACUGAAAGACCAUCAGCCAGUCAAUACAAGAACAUUAGAAUUAAUUCAAAGUUUAGCACAUUGGCUUGCCUGAGAGCCAAGACUAGAUGUAAGACCUCUUCUUCAAAGUCUAAGAUCUCUUCCAUAAAGUCAAAAGUGGUAAAAAGGUGUAAAACCUUUGGUGUUCGGAGAAUAUAUGGCAAGAAACAGUCCUGUCUUUAUUGUAAAAGACUCAUAAGAAAAAUAGCAAGGCACUUGGAGAGAAAACGUACAAAAGAAAAGGAUGUAGCACAUGCCCUCAGCUUUCUAAAGGGUUCCCAAACAAGAAAACUUUUACUUAAGCAACUCUGUAACAGAGGCAAUUAUGAGCAUAAUAUUGAAGUUAUUCAAAAUGGAAAUGGAGAGAUCAUCCUGCUGAAACGUCCAAAAAACAAUAAUUCAUUAAAUGACUAUGAACCUUGCCCUUAUUGCCUGGGUUUUUAUGCUCAACGUGUCUUAUAGCAGCAUCGGCGAACAUGCAAAAUGAAGAAGAAGGUUUCGGUUAACUACAUUUGCAUUGCACAACUCCCUGUCUGAAGGCUGCCAAGAUAUUGUCUGCCGAAUGCGAGAUGAUGAUAUCUCAAAACACUUGAGAAAUGAUUCCUUGAUCUGCAAAUUUGGCAAUAGACUUUAUGAAAAAGUUGGCCAACAAAAGGCACAGCACAAUUACAUUUCACAAAAGAUGAGAACUUGGGAGAUAUAUGCUAGCAGUGAAGCAGUUGGAUCAGGAUGUUGAGUAUCUGCAUCAAGUAUGCUCUGAAUCCAAGUUUAAUUUGGCUUUGGAGUCUGCAAAGGUGAUUGGUGGUUUUGAUCAAUGUUCUGACAAAUUCAAAACUCCAUUUAUAGCCUUGAAGUUGGGGUACUCCCUGAAGCGGGCUACUGAAAUCGCUUUGGCAGAAAAUGAUAUGGGAGAAGAAGCUGCAGAUCAAGCCAGAAAGUUAAUUGAUUUGCUUGAAACAAACUGGAUAAACUUCGUGUCCUCACAUACGUGCACCUUAGCAAAACCUUCUAAACAGAACACAAUGGAUGUUAUAUGCCUUGUGGAAGAUGUCAUCAAACUACAGAAUUUUCUUAGAGUUGCUGAAGAUAAAGCUAAAAGUGAGCUAAUGUAGAAGCCAAAUCCUGAUGCAUGGAAGAGGCUGCGUGAAAGUCUUCUUGCUGGAAUUACUUUAUUUAAUAGAGGACGAAAGGGGGUGGCUGAUAAAAUGCUGCUCGAAAAUUACAUUGACAGAGCAAAAGAACCAUUUAAUGGAAGUAGGUUUGAUACCCUAACAAAAUUAGAACGGAGUCUUGGGGACGAGUUAAUCCGAAUAGAAAUCUCUUGUGGAGAUGGAAGUGCAGUUAUUGCUUUACUCAUGGAAAGGAUGGCAUCAUCUUUGGAUGUCCUUAUCAAAUACCGCAAGGAAGUAGAUGUUCCUGUGGACAACCCUUACAUUUUUGCUCGAAUGGGGGCUUCUACUCACAUAAGCCGCUGACUGCCUAAGACGUUUUGCCCAAAACUGUAGUGCUGAAAGUCCAGAAAGUCUAACAUCUGGAUAUACACAUAAGCAUGUUGCUAUUCUUUACCAAAUUCUGAGCCUUAAUGAUGGUGAAAAGAAAAACAUAGCUAAACUUGUGGGUGAUGUCAGCUAUGAUUACCAAGGGCUGAAUGAAAAAUCUUUGCAGUUGGCAAACAUCUGCAGCCUACUACAUACAAUGGAAAAAGGAACAAUCCCAUGUACAGAAAAUUGUAAUGCAGGUGAAUUAACAACUGCUGUUGAAAGUCCUGGCAGCCAUGCAGAUGACAAUGGAGAAGUAACUGAUGCAGGUCCUGGGCGGGUUGCCAGAUCAAGAGAAAAAA